rnacentral:rRNA from 1 species
AUUGGGCGUAAGCGCGCGCAGGUGGUUCCUUAAGUCUGAUGUGAAAGCCCACGGCUCAACCGUGGAGGGUCAUUGGAAACUGGGGAACUUGAGUGCAGAAGAGGAAAGUGGAAUUCCACGUGUAGCGGUGAAAUGCGUAGAGAUGUGGAGGAACACCAGUGGCGAAGGCGACUUUCUGGUCUGUAACUGACACUGAGGCGCGAAAGCGUGGGGAGCGAACAGGAUUAGAUACCCUGGUAGUCCACGCCGUAAACGAUGAGUGCUAAGUGUUAGAGGGUUUCCGCCCUUUAGUGCUGCAGCUAACGCAUUAAGCACUCCGCCUGGGGAGUACGGCCGCAAGGCUGAAACUCAAAGGAAUUGACGGGGGCCCGCACAAGCUGUGGAGCAUGUGGUUUAAUUCGAAGCAACGCGAAGAACCUUACCAGGUCUUGGCAUCCACUGACAACCCUAGAGAUAGGGCCUUCCCUUUCGGGGGACAGAGUGACAGGUGGUGCAUGGUUGUCGUCAGCUCGUGUCGUGAGAUGUUGGGUUAAGUCCCGCAACGAGCGCAACCCUUGAUCUUAGUUGCCAGCAUUCAGUUGGGCACUCUAAGGUGACUGCCGGUGACAAACCGGAGGAAGGUGGGGAUGACGUCAAAUCAUCAUGCCCCUUAUGACCUGGGCUACACACGUGCUACAAUGGAUGGUACAAAGAGCCCGCAAACCCGCGAGGGCAAGCUAAUCUCAUAAAGCCAUUCUCAGUUCGGAUUGC